AUCGCUUCUUGGCCUUUUGGCUAAGAUCAAGUGUAAUAACUUGAAUUGUGUUCCCUUAAGAUGCAUGUUAUAUCCCAAUUUCCAUAUAUUUUAAUAAGUGACCAAAUAUAUAAGAUAUUUUAAAAUAGGGUGUUUCUCUGUAUAACUAUCAAAGGAAAGAUCUGGAUGACA
ensembl:snRNA LOC120101113 U2 spliceosomal RNA